rnacentral:rRNA from 1 species
AGAGUUUGAUCCCGGCUCCAGGACGAACGCGGGCGGCGUGCCUAACACAUGCAAUUCGAGCGAGGCUGUUAGAGUGGAAUUUUUCGGAAAGAAACUCUAACUGUCCUAGCGGCGGACGGGUGAGUAACGCGUGAGAAACCUGCCUUUCACAAAGGGAUAGCCUCGGGAAACUGGGAUUAAUACCUUAUGAUACUCUUUUCCAGCAUUGGAGAAAAGUUAAAGCGUAAAGCGGUGAAAGAUGGUCUCGCGUCCCAUUAGUUAGUUGGUGAGGUAACGGCUCACCAAGACCGCGAUGGGUAGCCGGCCUGAGAGGGUGAACGGCCACACUGGAACUGAGACACGGUCCAGACUCCUACGGGAGGCAGCAGUGGGGAAUAUUGCACAAUGGAGGAAACUCUGAUGCAGCGACGCCGCGUGAACGAUGAAGGCUUUCGGGUCGUAAAGUUCUGUCCUAGGGGACGAUAAUGACGGUACCCUAGGAGGAAGCCCCGGCUAACUACGUGCCAGCAGCCGCGGUAAUACGUAGGGGGCGAGCGUUGUCCGGAUUUAUUGGGCGUAAAGGGUUCGCAGGCGGCCCUUUAAGUCAGAUGUGAAAGAUCACGGCUCAACCGUGGUAAGCAUUUGAAACUGGAAGGCUUGAGUUAAGGAGAGGAAAGUGGAAUUCCUAGUGUAGCGGUGAAAUGCGUAGAUAUUAGGAAGAAUACCAGUAGCGAAGGCGACUUACUGGCCUCUAACUGACGCUGAUGAACGAAAGCGUGGGUAGCAAACAGGAUUAGAUACCCUGGUAGUCCACGCCGUAAACGAUGAGUGCUAGGUGUCGGGAGUCAAAUCUCGGUGCCGUAGUAACGCAAUA